rnacentral:rRNA from 1 species
CCUACGGGCGGCAGCAGUGAGGAAUAUUGGUCAAUGGUCGGGAGACUGAACCAGCCAAGCCGCGUGAGGGAUGCAGGUACAGAGUAUCGUAAACCUCUUUUGUCAGGGUACAAAGGCGGGGACGCGUCCCCGGAUGAGUGUACCUGAAGAAAAAGCAUCGGCUACCUCCGUGCCAGCAGCCGCGGUACUACGGGGGAUGCGAGCGUUAUCCGGGUUUAUUGGGUUUAAAGGGUGCGCAGGCGGUCUGUUAAGUCAGCGGGAAAAGCCCGGGGCUCAACCCCGGCCCGCCGUUGAAACUGGCAGUCUCGAGUGGGAGAGAAGUAUGCGGAAUGCGCGGUGUAGCGGUGAAAUGCAUAGAUAUCGCGCAGAACUCCGAUUGCGAAGGCAGCAUGCCGGCUCCACACUGACGCUGAGGCACGAAAGCGUGGGUAUCGAACAGGAUUAGAUACCCUUGUAGUC